AGCGUUUCCUCAAGCCUGCUGGGGUGGGAGGAGAGGAGGAGGUGGUGGUGGUGGUGGAGGAGGAGGCAGGGGGUGGAGAGAAAGAAAGCGCACGCCGAGAGGAGGUGUGGGUGUUUCUCUCCCAUCCUAACGGAACGAGCUCCCUCUUCGCGGAUAUGGGAUUGCCCAGCGGCUGCUAACCCCUCUCCUGGUCCUGCUCCCCCAAACCGGCGUGGCUCCCCGGUCACCAAGGAGCUGACUGCAAGGGAGCAGGAUUCGCAUCCUUGGCUGGGCGAGCUUUGACUACAGAGUACCUGACCUGGGUCAGGAUUUUCAACAAAGACAUGUCUGACAAAAUGUCUAGUUUCCUACAUAUUGGAGACAUUUGUUCUCUGUAUGCGGAGGGAUCUACGAAUGGAUUUAUCAGCACCUUGGGCCUGGUUGAUGAUCGCUGUGUUGUGCAGCCAGAAGCUGGGGACCUUAACAAUCCACCCAAGAAAUUCAGAGGUUUUCUGGAUAUAAAGAGAUACAUUUCAGUUAGAUAAUCUUCAGUGCUUCAAAGACCUACAGAAUAUAGCAUUUAAACUGUUUCAAGUCUAGAUGGAUAAUCUUCAACACUUCAAAGACCUACAGAAUAUGGCAUUUAAAAUGUUUCAAGAACUUAGACUUUUCGUGACAGUGAGACAUGUCUGCAUCUGGCAAUACCAAUUACUUCAGAGAGGUUGAUGGGCAUUGAAGAAACUCAUUAUGGAAUUUGCCUUCAGUGUGACAAGGCUAACCAUUUGGGCAAGAAACUGGUCUUGCAUGGACUGCUUGAUGGUACACUGUAUGAACUGGACAUGCAGGGCCCACAGAAAAGUGACUGCAGAACUUUCCAGAAAAUGGAAUGCUUCUUUAGGAUUCCUGCUUCAUAGAAGAAAUUGCCAGACAUUAUGAAGGACACAGAAGAAAGCAACUAAUGAACUUUGCCAUUACAAGGCAGAACAGAUCUUCAAAUUUCCUGCCUCAUGGACAAGUUUGCCAGAUACUAUGGGCCUAUAGGCUGAAAUUGGAUGCCCCAGUGUUAUAGAAGAACUUUCAGUGACUGUCUGCAGUGAGAUGUCUCUCUCAAUUCUAAAGUUUUGGAAGUUUCUUACAAUGUACUUCCUAUUUACUUAGGUCAUAUUAUAUCCUUCUGGGGUCUUUGGUAUAGUUGAAGACAGAUAGUUAUAAUUUUCCUUAGUUAUGAUAAAAGAUAAAUUAGAUAUAAAACUUUAUACUCACAAAGAAAUAUUCUAUAAUUCUUGCUUAAUAACUGUUUUGUAUAUGUAAUUUUACUAUGUUAGAGUUAAAACCUUACUUUUAUUUAGACAGAAAAGGGGAGAUGAUGUGUGAUA